UACGUAGGGCGCAAGCGUUAUCCGGAAUUAUUGGGCGUAAAGAGCUCGUAGGCGGUUUGUCGCGUCUGCUGUGAAAGACCGGGGCUCAACUCCGGUUCUGCAGUGGGUACGGGCAGACUAGAGUGCAGUAGGGGAGACUGGAAUUCCUGGUGUAGCGGUGAAAUGCGCAGAUAUCAGGAGGAACACCGAUGGCGAAGGCAGGUCUCUGGGCUGUAACUGACGCUGAGGAGCGAAAGCAUGGGGAGCGAAC
rnacentral:rRNA from 1 species